rnacentral:rRNA from 1 species
AUACGAAAGGGGCAAGCGUUGUUCGGAUUUACUGGGCGUAAAGAGAUCGUAGGUGGUUUAUCAAGUCGGAUGUGAAAUCCCGGGGCUCAACCCCGGAACUGCAUUCGAUACUGGUAGACUUGAGUUCGGGAGGGGGAUGCGGAAUUCCGCGUGUAGCAGUGAAAUGCGUAGAUAUGCGGAGGAACACCAGAGGCGAAGGCGGCAUCCUGGACCGAUACUGACACUGAGGAUCGAAAGCGUGGGUAGCAAACAGGAUUAGAUACCCCAGUAGUCC